AUUGAACGCUGGCGGCAGGCCUAACACAUGCAAGUCGAACGAGUGGCGGACGGGUGAGUAAUGUCUGGGAAACUGCCCGAUGGAGGGGGAUAACUACUGGAAACAGUAGCUAAUACCGCAUACCAUCGGAUGUGCCCAGAUGGGAUUAGCUAGUAGGUGGGGUAACGGCUCACCUAGGCGACGAUCCCUAGCUGGUCUGAGAGGGUGACCGGCCACACUGGAACUGAGACACGGCCAAGACCCCGACGGGGGGCAGCAGGGGGGAAGAUUGCACAAGGGGGGCAAGCCUGAUGCAGACAGGCCGCGUGUAUGAAGAAGGCCUUCGGGUUGUAAGGUACUUUCAGCGGGGAGGCGUUACUCGCAGAAGAAGCACCGGCUAACUCCGUGCCAGCAGCCGCGGUAAUAC
rnacentral:rRNA from 1 species